GCAUCGAUGAGAACGCAGCGAAAUGCGAUACGUAAUGUGAAUUGCAGAAUUCAGUGAACCAUCGAAUCUUCGAACGCGAAUUGCGCUCUCGGGUAUUCCCGGGAGCAUGUCUGUUUGAGUGUCGUGAUGAACCUCAUCCCCCGCGUGGGGGUGGACGUGAGAGCCGGCGCGCCCUGGAGCGCGGCGCCUCUUGAAGUGCCUGUGAGACGUGUCGACCGUGCGACUCACUCUGAUGUGACAGUUUGGAACGUCGGAGCGCGGGAGGUUGGCGCAGCGUGUCUUGCACGAUGACUGGGACGGGAGGGCGCACCGCUGUGUGUGUUUUGUCGUCGCACCACUUCUUUGACCUCAAAUCAGAUAAGACUACCCGCUGAACUUAAGCAUAUCAAUAAGCGGAGGA
rnacentral:rRNA from 1 species